rfam:Trichomonas vaginalis G3, whole genome shotgun sequence.
GCCAAAAGCUCAAUUUACUGUGCCUUUUGGUACUAGGAUCAGUACGAAAAGUAAGGCCUACGAUCCCUAAAAUAGCCUCAGGUGCGUGAGGAUUGGGGUGACAGACAAGUUACCUCCGGGACAACUGGCUUGUGGCUGCUAAGAGAUCAAAUCAACGCAGCUUUUUGAUUCUUCGAUGUCGGCUCUUCCUAUCCUAGUGAUGUACAAGUUGCUAAGGGUCGGAUUGUUCACCCGUAUUAGGGAUCGUGAGCUGGGUUUAGACCGUCGUGAGCCAGGUUUGUUUUAUCCUACUGGAUAUAGCAUCAUGAUAGUAGAUUGAUUUAGUACGAGAGGAACUGUUGAUUAUGGCCUCUGGUUAGCGAUUAUCGGAAACGGUAUGUCGCGCAGCUACGCCGUCUGGGAUAAUGGCUGAAAGCCUCUUAAGCCAGAAGCCCAUCUAGAAAGUGAUGCACGUGAUGUUGGACCGAUACGAAUAAUCAUACUCAAAAGGUCCGCUUCAUAGGUAACCCAAUGUAGAAGACAUUGUGUGAACGAAGGUACUGUAAGCAGUGGAGUGGCAUUACGUCCACGACCUGUUGAGGUUCAGCUUCGCUUCUAGGUUUCC